rnacentral:lncRNA from 13 species
GUGGACGUGCGGCAGAUUGCGGAUUGAUUUCAUGUCGCGUCGUUCAUCGCAGUAGGUAGAUCCGCAGGAAGUUCGAUUCUCUAUCCCGGCAAUCGUGCGACGAACGACGAGGAGCUGCCGCGAAAUGCGUAUUUUCGGCAGCUUCUCGGCCGUCGAGCGACGGGCCAGACGUCGAUGGGUCGAGGGCAGUGGCACAGCGGUGUUGCUCCGAUCCCGCCGUGUGUAUCUCGGUACGUAUGUACGAGUCGAUUGCUUAUAUAUGUGCAGCGUCGUGUAGGAAGAUGACGAUCGUCGUGAGACGUGUUAGUUGAUUCCUCACCGUACACUGUGCGGCGACGGACGCGAGUUGCGUCACUGGCGUCAGUGUGAAGUUUGUCGAGUGUUGCACGGCUAACGAGCCUCUUUCGCCGCGUACUUCGUGCCGUUCGUACGCGUACUUCUUUGUAUGACGUCAUCGACGUCGCGAGUAGAGUUUUUUGUGCACGUAUGUACAACAUACGUUCGAGUCUUUGUGAGUAACCUACAGUGAAAUAGACGUUCGGACGAGAAAAAGAGGGAUUGCUCGGAGACGUGCAUGUGUUGUUGUUGCGGGACGACAUGUGGAGCAAGGUUAAUUCACCCCGCGCAAAUCUUCGCGUGCUCCGUCCGACCAACGCAUCGCGCAUCAGCUCGCGUGUUAUCGUCGAUAUCGAACGGCUUGGCUUGGUACGCGCAUCUGCUUUCGAGUUUUCGUGUGCGACAAUGAAACAAACGUUCUGACAAAAUAUCGAUCUACGCAUUCUGGAUCAUAACCUCGCGCGGUCGUGUGUCCCUUUCGCUACGUGGUGAUGUCGCUUCGCCGGAUGAGUUCCGUCAACAGUAUUGCGCGUUGAUAAUUAGUGCGCGAUCGUAAUUACUCGCGAGUGUUGUGUUGUGCAUUGGAAUCUUCGAGGAGGCGGAGGCUCGGGCAACGGUGGAACAACGUGUGGUCAACGUGGCGUUUUUCGACUCCGCCGCUGCGCGUCGUGUCAAGAUGCUUAAAGCUCGGGAAAUAUUCAAACGCUAAGCGUUUGAAUCUCAAGGACUAUCAAAUUACCGCGCGAGGAUCCGAUACGUGCCCUACCGAAAUCCAAGUUUCCCGAGAUCGCUGCCUCGGAAUUUAUCGCUAAUGAUCGGCGGCAACGAGCAGUACGUUCGCGCAUUCAUUGCCAGAGAGAGGAGCAUCGGCGGAGGCAUCGCACCUAAUAAGAAUCGCAUCGUACGAGCCAGGAAGCGACACGAUUUGCCUCGAGAGUCACGCGGAGUGCAGUUAACCUAUCGACAGAUAGAAUUUCACUUUGAAUGGAUACUCCCCGCGGGUGGAGGAUAUCGUUAACAUUACUCUUAACGGUACGUCCAUCGUCGCAGCGCGUGCGUUGCGCAAGUGAUAAUUGAUAGAGAAGGACGGUGGUAGGGUUACUUUGUAAAUUUUACGGUCUAUCUUUGCAUUGCUAAAACGCCGUCGCGAUCGGCAAUAAAUGCAGUUACAGUACAGCUAUCGUAGCGAUGCGCGACGGCAAUAGCCGUCAAUAGUGGCUACGAUCGCAUCGUGGGGAUCGCGCGAUUUGUUCAUCCUGCGUUUGCUAAGGUGAAAGUACACUAAAGGUGGGUUUGUUAAACCUCUGUCUAAAAGCUUUAUAAUAAUAAAUUUUUUUAAAUAUUGUCAAUUAAGUUUUGAUAUCAUUGAAGAUAAAUUAUAUCGAUAAAAUUGUCAAAAUCAUUAAAAAAUUUUUUUUAUUACGACACAGAA